rnacentral:rRNA from 1 species
GACAGGGGUGCCGAGCGUUAGGCGGAAUCACUGGGCUUAAAGCGUGUGUAGGCGGGCGAUCAAGUACCUUGUGAAAUCCCACGGCUCAACCGUGGAACCGCUGGGUAUACUGGUUGUCUUGAGCCGGCUAGGGGCGAGCGGAACAGACGGUGGAGCGGUGAAAUGCGUAGAUAUCGUCUGGAACGCCGAAGGUGAAAACAGCUCGCUGGGGCCGCGCUGACGCUGAGACACGAAAGCCAGGGGAGCGAACGGG